CAGAAGUUUCUUUGUUUUAAUUUAGAACAAGCCUCAUCUGUAUGAGAUGCAAUUUUUUUUGGCAUUUCCAUUAGCACAUUUAAAUUGCAGUUAUUACAAACCUUGUUACCCUUAGGAAUGUACUUUCCACAAGCUCUCCAAGCAUUGUUGGAGAAGCAAAACAAGAAACAAAAACUUUUGCUUCAAUUUUUCAGCAAAGAGGGAGAGGAAGCCAACUCAGAAAUGAGGGGAUUAUCUAUUAUGAAUCAACAGGAGGCACUUUUGAAAGAAGAAACAUUGCUAUCCAGAUUUGAAGGAACUGAAGCAUUUAUUGGAACAAAAAAUGCUCUUUAUUCAAAUGUUAUUUGAUUGAAUUGUGUAUUCCUUCUUGAAAAACAUGGAAAAUGACUGAAGGAAAAUCGAAUUACCAAAGCGGUCUGCCAUCUGAGACUUGUCCACAACAACUCCUGAGCCAGGAUGAGGAGGGACAAGUGGCUUCUUUGACUGGGAUGCCUGCCUGGAGAUAGAACAGUGGAUUUCACAGCCUUUCUUCUACUGGAGUGAAGGCACAGGAAUGGAAAACAGCAUGCCUGAUGAGCUACAAACCAACUGCUUCCAGCAUGGGCUCACUGCAUCAGCAACAACCUUGUGCCCUCAUUAUCAAUAGUACAUAUGUGGUAGUGAGGAGGGCUUUAAACUAGGUUCACUGGUGGAUGGAGACCAAAGCCCUGAGGUUUCAGCUGGUUGCACUUGCGAUUCAGUCAUGGUCAGGCAAAUGAGAGUAUUUUCUAGACGAAUUUAGCUCAGAAAGCGCCCUCUGUACCAGAGCACCAUCCAGAAGAGGCUGAGAUCGGGUCCUAGAGGACACCAAAUGAGAUCAUUGCACAAGGCACAGUACCUACAUAUAGCAAGACACCAUUUAUGAUAAAAAAUAGGUA